GCCAGUUUGGUCUAGGGUUUAAGGCACCAGGCUAGAAAGCAGGAGACUGUGAGUUCAAGUCUCACUUUAGUCA
rnacentral:tRNA from 1 species